GCGGGUAUGGUGAAAUUGGUAACCACACUGUGUUUAGGUCGCAGCGCCGCAAGGCUUGUCAGUUCGAGUCUGACUACCCGCACCA
rnacentral:tRNA from 1 species